UUGAUCAUCAAAGCAAACACACAGAAAUCCCAACUAAAAAUCAAUCAGUGAGACAAUGGCUGGAACCAAUGAUAUUAAAAUUAAAGGGUUUGAUUUGAGCAACAACAAAGGCAACACGUCGGGAUUAACCCACUUCGCCAACAGAGCUGCCGAGGGCGACAAGGGCGACAAUAAAAUCGAGGUUGAGGAUGCUAAAGGGCAAGGGAACACGGGAAACUUGAAAGUACUGACCGACUUCGCCCAACGCGGUAAAGUGGGCCAGUCGGAUCGCCAAGAACUACUCAAACCUCAGGCAUGAAAUUGAAGAAGGCCAGACCACAACAACUUGUCUGCUUGAUAGAUAUAUGUGCUAAAUUAUCUACACAAAAAUAAGAGCUGAUGUUUUAUCUGAGGCUCCUUCCUUGGUUAGGCCUCGUUAUCAUGUGUAAUAUUAAUAUUAUUAUUCUAAUAAAAUAAUGGUAGCUUAUUAUUAAAUAUAUCAGAAUUCUAUACGUAUAACUUUUAGAUUAUUGAUACUGAUGUCAACAAGAGAAAAUGAUUAAAAAUUCCUUUCUCCAAUUCGUGAUGUUAGACAAGAAGCAAACAAAUUUAGGAUAAUGGAUUUUAAAAGUUUGGUGACAAAUGAUGGUAAAGAAGAAUUUAGCCACUACUACAAAAAGUGAAAAAGACGACCAGAAAACAACGACGGUCUAAGUGAAAACCGUCGUGGUUUAUAAAAAGACGACGGUUCUAAAAACACCGUCGUGUAAUACAACCUUAGACAACUAAAAAAUGGAGUUUCAAAUGGCUGUUCAAAAACAACGACGUACAUAAUUAAACAACCGACGUCUAUUUGAAACAGAUUUCCUCAGUGUAAAAUCAAUGCCAACAAAGAACGGCAGAAGUUAUGAAUCGACCGACGUAGAAAGUAAAGACGACGAUUUCAAUAAAAACUGCCGUUUUUACUCAUAAAAUAACACGACGAGGUUUUCGUAUAAGACGCCGUAUAAUUACAAACAAAUCCACGGCUUUAAAAUACAAAAUAUCGCCGUAUUAAAUUAAUUUACAACGACGGAAAAUAUAAAUAUAUCGACGUCAUUCUCGUAUAGUUCUACUACGUUAUCUUUAAAUCGUACAAUAAAAUUUAUCGUCGUAUUUAUUCAUUUUAUACGUCGUACCUUUAAUUUUAACGGUCGUCUUAAUAAGAAUUUUUGUUAACAAUUUUUUUCUUUGAUUUUCUUAUCCUACGUCGGUAGAUCUACUUAAUGACAAGAAUUGAAAUAACCACGACGGUUUAUAUAGAACACCGCCGACAUAAUCAGUUUUGUCUGAGAUCCCAAGGGUUACGAAAUCUUACCAGAUGGAACUCUGUUCCACAUCAUAAUCUUAACAGAUGACACAGAUUUGCAAAUAUUGCGUCGUGUUAGUUUACAAAUUCUAGAACAUUAAUUUCCCUCAUUUUAAAUUUCCUCGGGAAAGAAAAAUCUAUUUAUCACGCUUUGGAAUUGAAAACUAAAACUGAAAGAAUACGGGAAAAAAAACUCCAUUUAUAAUUUAAAAUUAAAAUCCACGUCGGUUGUAGUACACUUAACGACGUUUAACAAAAUAAUCUACGUCGGUAAUUAUAAAUCUACCGCCAUCGUAACUUAAUAUAGACGACGAGAAAAGACGACGGUAGAACAGAAAACCGCCGUUGUUUCAGUUUCUUUAACAUAUCUUUCUGCAGGACUUGUGUAGUUCAAAGCAUUGACAAUGUCUUCAUCAUAUCUCCCAGAAACUACUGAUUCAAUUGCUCAUGCUUUAGAGGCCAUCUGAAGCCAUUUCUAUUCUUUAUCGCAUUCUUGAAACCCAUCUUCUUCUUCUGAAGCUCUACGGAUAAAGGAAGAGGCUAUCACAAUAAAUCCGACGGAUCUUCUUAGGCAAGAAAAUCAAGCAGAGGAUCAGGCACAUCUGAUCUUCAGAUUUCCCUGAGAAGCGAACUUUCCUUCGACAGCGAGUGGAGGCCAGGCUUGCAUCUCUUUUGAUGGAAAGCAAGGAGUAUUCAGAAGCACUAAGUGUCCUAUCAGGCUUGAUCAAGGAAGUGAGAAGGCUAGUUGACAAGCUUCUUCUUGUGGACAUAUAUUUGAUGCGAGUAAGCUCAAUUUCUCUUUGAGAAAACAUCCAAAUUAUUAUCUUUGAGACAUGAGAGACUGAGAGAGGAAGAACUUGGAACCUUAAAUGUAAACCGAAAAUGAAUGAAAGCGACAAAUUUAUAGAAUAAAUUUUUAAAACCAACGGCGGUCCUUACAAACAAACCGCCGUUUAAAUUGUAAAAUCAACGUCGGUAUGAUCGACGUAUAUUACAGAAAUCCACGUCGGUAAAUUAAUAAAAACGACGUGUUAAAUAAUAUACCAUGACGCGAGUUAUUACUUAUGUACUUUAAUUUUUGAGUUUACUACGACGGUACCUACAAACUACUGUCGUAUUUAUUUACCACGUCCGAAGUUAAAUGUACCGUCGUAUUUUGUAAUUUAUACGUCGUAGUUAUAUGUAACCGCCAUAUUAUUUUUUUGAAAUGGUUUUAUAUGUAAGCAACUUUUCGUCUACUUGACUUACACAUUUGUUGUUUUUAUAUUCUUAUUUUAUUUAAAUCUGUCAUCCAAAAAAGAAACUUUACAUAUUGCAGAAUAUUAAUUUCCUUCGUUUUAAAUUUCCUCCGGAAAAAAAACUCUAUUUAUAACGCACUGUAAUUGAAAAAUAAACUGAAAGGUCACGGGAAAAAAAAUUCUAUUCAUAAUUUAAAAAUUAAAAUCCACGUCGGUUAUAUUAAACCUAACGACGUUAAAUGAAAUGAUUCCACGUCGAAUGAAAAAUAUUGCGUCGUUUUAGUUAAAAACGACGUAGUUAAAUGUAACCGCCGUAUUAUUUUUUUGAAAUGGUUUUAUAUGUAAGCAACUUUUCGACUUACACAUGCACUGUUUCCAAACCCGAUUAAAAAUUUCAAUCUCCCAGAGAAACCUUUUCGUCUUUUUUCCUUGUCAGAGCAUUGUCAGAGUUUUUCAUCGUCUUCCUCUCGUCUUCUUCGUCGUCUCUGAACUUAAACAUCGAUCAUCUUCCUCUUGCUUUCAUUGCACGCAAAAGGUAAGCUUUCAUUUUCACUAUUUUGGUUACUGUUUUGCAUGCUCAUACGUUUUUUGUUUGAAAAAUCUUUUUACCUUUUUUCUGGCCAAAAUCAUUUUACUUCUUUCCAAGUUUGAUAAAAUAUACAGACAAAGAGAGAAAGUUUCCAACUUUGAAGACAACUACAUCAACUAAAUAAGACGACGGUAGACCACGACGGUUCGUCAGUUGUUCUAGCGUCGUCUGAAAAUUGACAAAGUUGUUUUUAAAAUAAUAGUCUUUUUUUAUAUGCUUGUUUAAUUGCAGGUUUGAUUUCGCUGAACAAUGGUUUUUGUUUUUCCCUUAUUUGAUAAAAUAUAAAGAAAAAGAAACUAGGGUUGGUAUCUAAUAUAGACGAUAAAAUAUAAAUAAUAGUUUACCACGACGGUGUAUUACUAUUGACGUCGUGUGAACAUAUAUACCACGACGUUAUAUAAAUAAUGGUUUUAAACAUUUAUUACGUCUGAGAUUAUUUCAUUGCGUCGUCUAAAAUCAUAUCAUACGUCGUAUUUUUUUAAUACCGUCGUUUGUGUUCUUAAUGUUUUCCUGAAAUAUUUUCACUUGCAGUUUUGUCUGUUAAAAUGGUUUCUCAACAACAAACUAAGGAUUCUGGCUCCAAGAAGCUUGGAAUGGUAGCUCCUCAAGAUAAGUCUUCGAAGGAGAUGAAGUCUUCGAAGAAGAUGAAGUUUGCUUCAUCAUCUGCUGAGACAGAACAAACCAGCCAGACAACAAUCUCAGAUGAUUCAAAGACUGGUCGAGGUAUGAGCACAAUGCCUCGUGUUGUGAAGAGAAAGCUUCAGAAACUGAGGCCAAUUGUUGAGUACAAUAAAAGGGGGAAAGGUGUUGGCCAAGCACAUAUUGAGAUGCAGUCGUAUAUUGGUGUGUUGGCACGCUCCAGGAUCCCACUUGUGGACAAGAAAUGGUCCCAAAUCCCCAAGGAUAUAAAGGAGCAGAUUUGGGAAGCAGUUGACAUGGCUUUUGUCGUAGGCCAAGGGGGCAAGACCUCUGUUUUAGCUUCUGCUUCCAAGAAAUGGAAGGAUUUCAAGUCUACACUAACGAGGCAUUAUAUCCUUCCAUACACCAAUGACAGGGAGAAAUUAAGCCAACCCCCUGAAACAUAUAAAUUCAUAGAGAAAGCACAAUGGGAUGCCUUUGUAGCUUCAAGGCUAUCCAAAGAUUUUGAGUCUGUGCAUUCUCAACAUGCACAGAUUAGGGAGAAACUCGAGUACAAUCAUCGAUUGUCUCGAAAAGGAUAUGCUGGAUUGGAGGAUCAAUUGGAGGAAACCAUGCCUGGGGUAGAAAUUGAUCGAUCUACCUUAUGGAAGAGAGCUAGACAGGACAAACAUGGUAACAUCCCUGAUCCAAAGGUGGCAGAGAAAGCAAAAUUAAUUGUAAGCCUACUAUCACUCUGUUUUAAAUUUUUAUUAAACUGUGAAUUAUUCUUAUUACGUCGUAUGUUAUAUUUUUCGUCGUGUGAAUGAUAUUACCACGUCGAAAAGUUUUUAAAAACGUCGUUAAAGGUCUAAAUAGGAAUCACUACUAUGUUUUCUGUAAUUACAGCAUAAGACGUCGGUGGUUCAUUUUCGCGUCGUGUGAAUGAUAUUACCACGUCGAAAAUUUUUUAAAAACGUCGUUAACGGUCUAAAUAGGAAUCACUACUCUGUUAUCUUUAAUUAUAGCAUAAGACGUCGGUUGUUUAUUCAUUUCGUCGUUUUAAAUAAAUAACCACGUCGGUAUAACUACCGUCGUGAUAAGUUAUAAUAACGUCGGUUUAUACGUUAUUGCGUCGUGUGAAAUUAUAUAAUACGUCGUUUGUACAUAAAUAACCGUCGUGUGUUUUUUUGUUUAUCUUUUUUUAGGAUGAAUUGCAGAAACAAGUCUCGGAAGGCAAAGUCAGAGUAGAUGGCAGCAAUGAUGUGCUGACCAUGGCUUUGGGCCCCGAGCAUCCAGGCAGACUGAGGGGAGUUGGUGCUGGUGUUUCCCCAAGGCAAUAUUUCAAUUUGCCCAAACCACAGAGGGUGAGCUUUGACGACCGUUUGAAGGACAGUUUAAGAGUUCUCCUUCAAGAAGAGACUAAAAAGAUGGAGGCUAAGGCAAGGGAAGAGGCCUUAAGGAUGGAGGCUAGGACAAAACAAUUGGUAGAGGCUGAGAGGGAGCAUUUCCUGAGUCAGCUUUCCCAAUUAAUUCCCAAUUUUGAUCCAAGCAUGCUUAAACCAAGAAUUAGCCAAAGCCCCAAAAAUCCAAUGUCUGACAAAGCUAGCUGCUCUGGAGGUGAUGUGAGAUCCCUACAUUUGGAGGAUGAUACUGCCAAAAUGGGGAAACAUCAGCCAGAUGAAGAGAAGGAAGAAGAAAAAAGAGAUGAAGAGAAGGAAGAAGAAAAGGAGAAAGAAGAUGAAGAAAAGCAUGACGACAAGGUAUGUUCACAUAACUUUGCCUUUUUUAUUUGUUUUUCAAAAUUUCAGACGUCGAUAUUUUUAUUUAAUCCGUCGUUUGUUUAAAACUUAGACGGCGGAAUUUUUUUAAGACGUAAUAAAAUAUUUAAACGACGGUUUUUGCACCGUCGUUUAAAUGGUUUCAGACGACGCUUUAUUCAUAAAACCGUCGUCUUUAUUGAAUUACCACGACAGUUUUUUCACCGUCGUUUAAAUACUUUUAAGACGACGUUUUAUUACUUAAACCGUCGUCUUUAUUGAAUUACCACGUCAUUUUUUUUAUUUCUUUAAACAGGUUAUUGAAGUUGGUGCUUAUUCAAAAAUGGAGGCGCCAUCUUCUUUAAAAACCCUUUGUCGUUUUGUGGAAACGACACUCCUGCCUGAGGAUAAGACACUCCAAUUUACAAUUGAUAAGGAGGUGUUUGGUGGUGAGCGCGAUACCUUCCUCCUGCCUGAAGAUAUUACACAAUUUGCAGGCAUGGAAGAAAUUGGAGCUACUGUAUUGGCUGUAUAUAUGAGGUUUGUACUUCUAAAAUAAUACCUCGUUGGUUUAUAUAUUGCGUCGUCUUAACUAACUAACCACGUCGUCUUAACUAACUACCGUCGUGAUAAAUAUAUUAUAACGUCCUCAUCUAUUUCAGUACGUCGUGUGAAAUAUUAUAAUACGUCGUUUUUUUAUACAUAACCGUCGUGUUUGUUUGUGCUGACUUGUUUAUAUUAUUUUAUGUAUUUAGGUACUUACACGAUGUUUUGAAACAAGCCAAUAUGUGCAGCAUGGUUGGCUUUAUUGACCCUGCUACAGUUAGUGCCAACUCUGGCACAAUAACUGAAAGAUCACGACUGGUAGCAGCUCGACUUCAGAAGACAGACGGUGAACAGCUUUUCAUGAUGCCUUACAAUCCAGGGUUAGUCUCCUUAGGAUUUUGUUUUUAUGAUUUUCAAUAAAUGACAGCUUAUAAACUAACCACGUCGGUGUUUUAUUUUAUUUAGUCGUUUGAAACUACUAACCACGUCGGUAUUUAUUUGUCGUCGUGAUAAAUAUAUAAUGUUGUCGUUAUCUACUUUAUUUCGUCGUGUGAAAUACUAUAAUACGUCGUUUUUGUAAAUAACCGUCGUUUUUAUAUUAAUUUUGUGCAGCCGUCAUUGGAUCCUGCUGAUUGUAAGAGCAAAGAAGGAGACCGUCUAUUUUCUGGAUCCUCUGCCAGGUCAUCGUGUGGUCGACGAAGAGGCGAAAAACAUCGUGAACAGUGCUUUAAAAAUAUAUAAUACCCACAUAGGCCGAGCAGGACGUAAAAAUGUAAUUUGAAAAACUCUCUCAGGCACACCAAAGCAACCCAGCAAUGUCGAAUGCGGGUAUUAUGUGAUGCGCUUCAUGAGGGACAUCAUCAUGGAUCCUUCCUUGGGGUUUGAGAAUAAGGUAAGAAGAAAUUACCUUCAUACAUUUCACGUCGUUUUUUGUAUUAUCAACGACGGUCAUGUAAAAUUAACGUCGUUGAAUGGAUAUACUACGUCGGUUAUGAAAAAUAUCGUCGUCUGUGAUUGAAUUUCUUUUUAUUUAUAAACCCUAAUAGUCAUUGUUUAUGCAGUAUGCCAAGGGAAACCAGGAAGCUUCAUACCCCCAAGAAGCCAUUGAUGAAGUCCGGAAUGAAUGGGCAGAGUUUGUUUUCCAAAUUAUUAAACAGGGCAAUUAUUGAACACUUGAUAUUUAUGUAUAAUGUACCAAUUUUCUCUAUAAUAUGUAAUGUAAAAAUUUGUUGAGGUUUUCUUAAAUUAAAAAAAAAACAAACAUACAAAUUGCUUAACCGACGUGUAAUACUUUUCCAACGACCUAAUAAAGUCACAAACCGUCGUAUUUUGUUGUUUCGUGUUUUAAACAAUUACGACGUAAAAAAAUAGUUAGACGACGUUCUUUGAACAAUUGAGUCGUUAAUGGUUUACAAUAUCUUCAAUUUCUUAAGGGUUCAGGGUAUAAUCGACGACGUUUAUGUAACGACUGCGGUUAAGUCGUAAAAUAUAUAUUUUACGUCGUAUAGUUAAAUAGCCGCCAUGGUUUUUCAUUUUAACGACGUCAUUUUAACGACUUAGUAGUCUAUUACAAUUUACAACGUCUACAAUUUAUUAACACCGACGUGGUUUGUUGUUGUGGUAAGAAUAUUUUAUUAUUUUUAUAUCAAAAUAUUCAAAAUAAAUUUAAAAUAAAUCAGAAAAUUGAAAAGUCAACUCCUAUGAAGUCAUUGAUAUAUUUUCUUCCACAUAAACCUUGAAAAAAUUCAUUUUGAAUAACAAAAAUUUAAAAUGACCAUCCAAAACAAAAUUGUUUUGAUGACUCAUAAAAUCACUUCUAGUUUUAUGGUUUAGGGUUUAGAGUCUAGGGUUUAGAGAUUAGGGUUGUUAUUUAUUGGGGUUUAUUUUUAAAGUAUAAUUUUUGGGUAGUCUAGGGUAUAUGUUAGGCUUUAAAACCAUAAAACCUUUUAUAAACUUAAUUUUUUAAAUUGUAUAAUUUAAUUUUAUGGGUUUAGGGUAUUAAUUUUUAACGACGGUGGUUGGGUCGUGGAAUACAUAUUUUACGUCGUACAGUAAAACAUACGACAUGGUUUACGCUUUAAACGACGUCAUUUUAAUAUGUAAGUCGGUUUAUAUAAUUUACAACGUCAACGUCUUUAAUUUCUUAACACCGACGUGGUUUUUCAGUCGUCGUUAUAUAAAAAAUUCAAAAUAAAUUUAAAAUUAAUCCGAAAAAUGAACGGCCUUACGUUCUUAAUCCGAAAAAUGAAGUUUCCGUCGUGGAAUAUUAAAUUUACGUCGGUACUUGUAGAACUUUCGCCUUGGUUUUUCUUUCGACGUUUUAAAACGCGCGCGCUCUAAAAAUUUUCGCGCGACCUAAACUUUUUUAGAUUUGGCUCUUAUUCUUAUACUUCGAACCCUGAAACCUAAAANNNNNNNNNNNNNNNNNNNNNNNNNNNNNNNNNNNNNNNNNNNNNNNNNNNNNNNNNNNNNNNNNNNNNNNNNNNNNNNNNNNNNNNNNNNNNNNNNNNNNNNNNNNNNNNNNNNNNNNNNNNNNNNNNNNNNNNNNNNNNNNNNNNNNNNNNNNNNNNNNNNNNNNNNNNNNNNNNNNNNNNNNNNNNNNNNNNNNNNNNNNNNNNNNNNNNNNNNNNNNNNNNNNNNNNNNNNNNNNNNNNNNNNNNNNNNNNNNNNNNNNNNNNNNNNNNNNNNNNNNNNNNNNNNNNNNNNNNNNNNNNNNNNNNNNNNNNNNNNNNNNNNNNNNNNNNNNNNNNNNNNNNNNNNNNNNNNNNNNNNNNNNNNNNNNNNNNNNNNNNNNNNNNNNNNNNNNNNNNNNNNNNNNNNNNNNNNNNNNNNNNNNNNNNNNNNNNNNNNNNNNNNNNNNNNNNNNNNNNNNNNNNNNNNNNNNNNNNNNNNNNNNNNNNNNNNNNNNNNNNNNNNNNNNNNNNNNNNNNNNNNNNNNNNNNNNNNNNNNNNNNNNNNNNNNNNNNNNNNNNNNNNNNNNNNNNNNNNNNNNNNNNNNNNNNNNNNNNNNNNNCUGUUUUUGUUUAAAACCCGUCGUCUCAUGUUGUUUAUACCUUGCGAUUAGAUCAUGUAUAAUCUGCUAUAGUGAUGGUCAUGCCUGUAUUUUCACUUUUAUAUAGAUAAUAGGUUAUAGUGUCGGAGAUGGAUAAGUCAUGGAUGCACUCGGAUAGAAGAUCGAAGGCAUAUGAGUUUGGGGUGGAAGCAUUUUUGAACUUUGCUGUAGAAAAUCUUCUAACUACAACACAUAUCCGUUGUCCAUGUGUUAAAUGUGUUAAUUUGAAGUUGUUUGGGGUUGGAAUUAUAAGGGAUCACUUAUACUUUAAUGGAAUUGACCAAAGCUAUAAGAAUUGGACAUUUCACGGAGAACCUUGGGAAGCAACUACUAAUGCUAGCAGAAAUGUUGAAGAAGAUGAUGGCCAUAGUAGGUACAGUUUUGUGUCUGAAGAAAUUGAUAUGGAUGAUAAUGAUUUUGGUGAUUUUGGUUCGGAUCCGUAUGAGUUUGCCAAUGUGAUUGGGGAUGGAGAUCAACCAGUGUACCCUGGUUGUAGAAAGUACACGAAGUUAUCGGCAUUAGUGAAGUUGUAUAAUUUGAAGGCAAAACAUGGGAUGAGUGAUGUCUGUUUUACAGAAUUAUUGAUACUUCAAGGCGAUUUGCUUCCAGAAGGAAAUACAAUACCAACCUCCAUGUAUGAGGCUAAAAAGACUUUGUGUGCAUUGGGGCUGAGUUAUGAGAAAAUGCACGCAUGCCCCAAUGAUUGCAUCUUGUAUAGGAAGGAGUAUGAGGAUUCAACUAAUUGUCCUACUUGUGGUAUCUCAAGGUGGAAGGAAGGCAAAGAUGCAAUCUUGAAAGAGGGUGUGCCAGCGAAGGUGGUGUGGUAUUUUCCCCCAAUUCCAAGGUUUAAAAGGAUGUUUCAAUCACAUGAGACAGCUAAGAGUUUGACUUGGUGGCAUGUUGCUAGAAAAUCAAUUGACGGUCAGAUGUCUCAUCCGGCGGAUUCCCCGUCUUGGAAACUUCUUGAUGAUAAAUGGCCUGAGUUUGGUAAUGAGCCGAGAAACUUGAGAUUGGCUCUUUCAUCUGAUGGAUUCAAUCCCCACAGUUCUCUAAGUAGCAGAUAUAGUUGUUGGCCGGUUAUCUUAGUUACAUAUAAUCUCCCUCCAUGGCUGUGCAUGAAACGAAAGUUCAUGAUGUUAACCUUAUUGAUUUCCGAUCCUAAACAACCCGGAAAUGAUAUAGACGUCUACUUGGAGCCUUUGAUUGAUGAUUUAAAAUCCUUGUGGGUUGGGAUUAGAGGAGUGUAUGAUGCACAUAAUGGAGAAUACUUUACACUCAGAGCUGCAUUAAUGUGGACAAUUAAUGAUUUCCCCGCCUAUGGAAACUUAUCUGGUUGUGUUGUUAAAGGAUAUAAAGCUUGUCCAAUAUGCGGCGAUGAUACACCUAGUCAAACAAAUAUUUUUUGUUGACGACCCGAUGCAUCGUGGUUGGUCGUGUAGGCGUGUGAGUGUGUGUUUGUGUUUGUUUUUGUGUGUGUGUGUGUGUGUGUGUGUGGUGUGUGUGUGUGUGUGUGUACCAUUACUNNNNNNNNNNNNNNNNNNNNNNNNNNNNNNNNNNNNNNNNNNNNNNNNNNNNNNNNNNNNNNNNNNNNNNNNNNNNNNNNNNNNNNNNNNNNNNNNNNNNAUGUAAUUGGCAGUGUAUGACAUUAAUUUUGUAAUAUAUUGUAAUGUGAUUUCUUCACUUUCUACGUUCAAAUAAAACACGACGUUAUUGUGAAUCAGUUAUUCAGCAUAUUUACCGACGUCUUAAAGCAACGUAACAAUGAAGAACCACGACGCUAUUGUGAAGCAAUUAUUCAGGAUAUCACGUCGGUGAAGGAUAAAGAACCGCCAUGUAAUUCAAAAUAACACGACUCCAAUCCCAUAAUACCGACGUCUAAAAAACGAGAUAUGUAAUCUGAACGUUAAAAAAUACGACGUCAUCAUACAUUUUCCACGUCGCAAGUUCUUUUAUAAACGAAGAGGAACGAAAUUAAUUCCGACGGAAAUUCAUUAUAACCGCCGUCUAAUAACAAUUAAACGACGUUAUUUGUAAUACGGCUCCCAUCAUAAUCUACGCCGUCUAUAUGUUCUGUAAUACGGCUCUCAUUUAUUUGGAACCGACGUUGUUUAGACGUUCAACGUCGUCUAUAUUAUUAAGUGCGUCGUGAGUAAUGAAUACAUAUAAAUACAACGUCGACUAUAUAAAUGUAUACGUCGUAAAUAAUGACACUGACAACUAUUUCCACGUCAUCUUUUUUAGAUAAAAUCGAAGUGGAAAAUUUAUUUCACGACGGUUUUUUGUAAAUAAGAGACGUUGUAGAACUUUAGCAGACUAAACACGUCUGUUUUUAUUGUUUUCCGACGUUGUUGUAUUUAACAACGUCUAAUAUUUAUGGUCGUUGUUUGUUUCUGAAAAUAGGACGUAUAAAUUUUUUAAUACGACUCUCAUAUAUUUGUAACUGACGUUGUUUAGUUUUUCAACGUCUACUAUAGAAACACAUACGUCGUAAAUAAUGACACUGACAACUAUUUCCACGUCAUCUUUUAUCAAAAAAUCGAAGUGGAAAAUUAAUUGUACGACGGUUGUGUUUAUAUGUGCGACGUAGUAGGUAUCAAUAACAUCGUCUUCUAAUGUAUUUAAAGACGUCAUAUUUUUUAUUGUCGUGAAAAUUAUAUUUAACGUCGGCGUAUUUUUAUUGUCGUCGUUGUAUGUCUAUCUUGCGGCCUUGUUCUCUUAAUAUGUGUCAUAUUUUCCCUUUUUAACGACGGUCUUUUUAGAGAAUUGGUCGUCUAUUAUCAUCAUCGAUUGCUUUUUUUAGAUCUUUUUGCAGUACAAAGACGUCGUUUUGUAUUUUUUGAUGACGUUGUAUUGUUUAACAACGACGGUUAUUUAGCGUCGUGGUUUAUGAGGGAAAAGAUGACGGUGGAUUCCACGACCAUUGAAAAACCAAAUACACGACGGUGAUUUACCGUCGUCUUUUUGCUUUUUUGUAGUAGUGAUCGGAAACUUGACUAAUUAGAAUACAACAUAUGUCGAAAUAUUUUUAUCAUAAAUGGUCUCUAAGGUUCGUGAAAUUAUUAGCUUUAGUCCUUCAUGUUUUUUUGUGACAUCAUUGGUCCUUUAUGUUACUCCUCUUCACACAUCAAUUUGGUUCUGCCGUUUGGAUUCGUCAAAAUUUAUGUUAAAUUGAUGGCAUGACAUGUAUAUGGUGCCUACAUAUCCAAUGAGAUAAUGACCCGUGGAUCUAAGUAAAAAAUUUGUUUUAAAAAAAUAGUUUCAUAUUUAAAAUUUUUAAAGGGCGAAGACUCAUUGGGUAACUCGAAGUUUGGGUUGUUGAAGCCUUCAAGCAUGGUUUUGCUCACAAAAGAUUGGAACGCAAUGUGUUGGGUUGAGCACUGAAAACCAAAGAAUAUCAAAAAUGUAGUAGGGGGGAGAGAGAGAGAGAGANNNNNNNNNNNNNNNNNNNNNNNNNNNNNNNNNNNNNNNNNNNNNNNNNNNNNNNNNNNNNNNNNNNNNNNNNNNNNNNNNNNNNNNNNNNNNNNNNNNNACCUCAUGUCAGCACUUAAUAGAAAAUUUGACGGACCCUAACGGCAUGGAUCAAAUUGAUGUGUGGUGUGUAACAAAAAGGAUCAAUAAUGUCACAAAAAACAUAAAGGACCAAAGUUGAUAAUUUUGCGAACCUUAUACACCAUUUAUGAUAAAAACCCUAUAUUGUAUAAUUUUAGUGUGUUUUUUUCUUAAAUGCUAUUGAGAAGAGAUUUUAUAAAACUGCUAUAUAAAAGGUUCACCACAAUGCUAUAAAACAAUAGUAGAUUAUGGCUCUCAGAUGUUUUCAUCUUCUUAUUCAUCCAAGCAGAUCGAUAACAUAUGGUCACUACUGACUUUUUCUUGUAGUUCUCAACAUCCAUCUUUCAAGCCAUCAACCAAGUUGUUGCAUUGCUCCUCACUGUUAGAAAAGCCUCGUUUCCCUCCUCCUCCUCCAUUGAUUGAAGGAGAGACAACAAAAGCAACUUAUGAAACAAGCCCCUCAUUUCCUUGUUAAACAUAAAUCGACCCAUUAUUGAUGAGGACUGAGAAUCUAAGAGCACACUAGUAAUUAACCUGAGUGGGGAAUAUGGAUGAUGGAUCUCUCUCUCUCUCUCUCUCUCUUGAAAAAAUCAACUUCAUUAUCCUUGGUGAAUUUGUUCUGAAUUAGUCGUGUCCAGCUACAAGCAAUACUGUACGUAGUAUAUUAUUCUCUGCAUUUGUGCAUGCCAACAACAAACAAAUAUUAUUCUCUAUUAUAGCAUAUAGGCCGUCAUUUUCAAUCCUUAUAAGAGAAAACUUGCUUCGCCAUAAGAGUACGUAGCUUGGCAAGCAAGGUAAGGGUACUUCAAAAGAUUCCUUCCAUCAUCUAUAUAAGACACAUGUGACAUUGCAUGUCUCAUCAAUCAUGUUAAGAUAAAGCUAGCUGGCAAGGCAAAUUACCAACCUUUAUGCUCGAGUAUAUUAUUCCAAGCAGAUAUAAAUGUUAAUAUAUGUGAAGAAUAUUAUGAUCAAUAUAGAAUAUGUAUCAUGAUCAGUUAUGGUAUCGACUGUCAGAAAAUAUCAUCCGCAUAUGUGCAUACCAACAUUAUCGAAAGACAGUAGGAGUAUCGUCAUAUCCGAUACAAGUAUCGGAGCAUGGGUAAGAGUAUAUAUACAAGCAUACCCGUCCAAUUAGGAGAAUCAGUGCAACAUAGAUGAAAAGAAAUUAGAUGUGAUUUCACAUAUUUUUAAAGAAUAGGGGAAAUAAACCAAUUAAUCUCUUUUGUCUUCUCCAUACAUUUUUGGUUGUGAAUUUUGGUUUUCGAAGAAUUUGGCAUUUCAAGCAACUUGGAAAACAUUUUGAUGAUCCAUUGAACCUUGUUAAAGUCGAUAUUCAAUCUCUAUGGACUUUGGCCGAAAUGUCUCAUUUCAAUUGGAAAGUGACAUUGAGAUUUGAAAAGACUAGACAUUAAGGUGGCAAGAGAAGUCUAAAAGGAUCAAACAGAAAAAAAUAAUGAAAAAUUGAAAAUAACCUAGAAAGGGGAGAAAAAAUUAGUUGCAAUAGGGAUAAUAAUGUUUGAGUAAUGCUAAACGAACUCUAAAAUUAACUUAGUACACCCUACUAUCAAACUAUUUAUUGAAUUACUAAUUUACCCUAAUAUAAAAUGACCAAAAAGGAUAUAUUGAAUUGUGCAGCAAAUGUAAUUUUAAUAAGUACACAUUACUCACCAUAUUCAACCCUAAUAUUCGAUGGAGGCGACAUUGAAUGCUAUGAAUCCAACCCAAACCCACCACCACCGUCCCUCUCUCUCUCUCUCUCUCUCUCUCUCUCUCUCUCUCUCUCUCUCUCACAAAUUAUCUUAUUUGCUCUAAAUUUUUUGCAAUGAGUCAGAAUCUUCUAUGUGUAUGUGGCAUUCGUUCAUUAGACUUGGUUAAUGCAUUCAACCCACCCAAAACAAUAAUCAUUUGAUGUUCAUCCUCGAUGUUGGUGGUUUCAAGUGAGCAUGUUCCCAAACGGCUCUUACACUUGCCCACUAGAACUCCAGCUCCUCACCCUCUGAUGAAUCUAAUGACAAUUAUGUUGUUGUUUGCACCAUAAACACCAACUUCCAACAACUCCAAUACAACCUAUUUCUUCUUAAUUAGAUACCUUGGGGGUUGAUAGCAACCUCAAUAGUCUAAGAAACAAACCCACUUCGGAAUUUUCCUUCUUCCACUAGUUGAAGGGAGAUGGGUUCCAACACGAUAUUACGCGCUUAUUAGAAUCUUAUACUCGUCGAGUCUGGGUUGGCUGGUGAUAAGCAGGGGAAGGGUGGAGUUGGGUUGUGUUAGAGAGAGAGAGAGAGAGAGAGAGAGAGAGAGAGAGAGAGAGAAAGAGAAAGAGAGAGAGAAGGGCGGUAGUGGUUGGGUUGGGUUGGAUGCGAAAGGGCUUAAAUCAGAGGAGGAAGGACGGGUUUGGCUGGGUGGGUGACAGGACCCGACCCAAUUUCCGCUUUGGAAUCCGAGCUGAAUCCUGUGCGUGUCCGACACCUGGCGAAUGUCGGGCACGAAUGACCUUUUUACCCUUCUCUUUUCAAAUUCUUUUUUUUUUUAAACUUCCCUUAGACUUCUACCGAAAAUUCGACAGAGUCUCCCCUGUAUUUUGACCAAACCCAAAGUCUUCCACCUGUCAAACAGUCUCAAAUAACACACCAACUACCAGACUAACUCAACCAACAGAUCUCAACUCCAGUUUCUCAUGUUCAACAAGAUAUCAAAGCAUUUCUAUACAAAUUUACAGAACUAUGAGAAAGUUACAACGAGAUCCUACACUUUGGGGGUGGGGCGAAAGCUGGGAAGAUGGCCCGAGUGGUUUCCUUCGUACUUCUAUGGCCUGGGGGCGAAAAACAAGGUUAAAAUUGUGAGUGGACAAAAAUAAAAUUCUUUAAAACAAAAACAAGUUAGAACAUAAUAACCCCCGUUUUGAAAUACUAGGGAUAUAAAUCGUUAAUUUAGCUAUAUUUCAAUAUAAGGAAUUCAAUAAACAUGAAUAAAUAUACUGACGAAUAAACUUGCAUAACUGAUCAAAUAUAUAUAAAGAUAAUAACGCAUGAAUAUCAAGAAACUGGUAUAAAAUCACGGGAAAUCAUAACUGGAUAAAAGAGCUCAAAAUCCUUUGAAACUACCACCUAGAUGUACCCCUGUCAUAUCCGUCAAUUCCCCUGGCAGGUCUCGGGCGUCACGCAGUCUACCCGAGCCGCAAACUGGCGAAAUCAAGGGACUAUGAUCAGCCUGAUCCGCCGGCAGGUCUCGAUGACACCAAGUCGACUCGAGCCGCUCUGGCAGGAUGCAGGGGACCGCAGUCAGCCUGAUCCGCAAUCCUGGCAGGUCUCGGGGACACAGAGUCAGCCGAGCCGCAAAUCCUGGCAGGUCUCGGGACACCAAGUCUGCCGAGCCGCAAAUUCUGGCACUCACGGUCCGAGCGUCCCCGAAACUCGUGAGGCAAAGUCAAGUGCACUGACGUAACUGAAAUCAGACUGGAUGUUCGUAGACAUCGGUCCGACUGUGGGUAAUCACCAUAAAUAGAUGGGUACAUGGUGGUUUAACAAGAAAUUCUGAUAACUCUCUGAAAUCUGAUAAGUCUGAACUAAAUUACUAUCUUUGUAUCAAAAGUCUCAAGUUUACUGCUCAACCAAUAUUAUAAAAAUAAAGAUAUUUCACAAUGCAAAUCAUGCUUCGAAAUUACGUAAUAACACUUAUUCAAGAUCAAAUAGAAAAUAUAAUUAUAAAAUCUUUUAGGAAAGAAAAGUCCACUCACUGUUGGUCCGAGCUAUCUGGACCCUUCGAAGAUCCCUCAUGUGGGUCAACUGGACCUCUGGUGCCUUACUCGAUUGAUUUGGUGGAGAAUUGAAGGAGAACGAAGGAGAUGAAGUUUGGAUGAAAAACAGGCGGAAAUCGCCAGUUUCCGGCCAAUUCCCGGCGGUCCAAGGCCGGCGACGGGUCGAGGAAGGGAGGCGGCGGCGAGGCGGACCGAUUGACACCAACGGCGGAGGUCGCCGUGCCCUGUAGCGACGGCACGCUCGAUCUGAAACAGGGAGGGGGGCGGCGGUUGCGACGGGAGAGAGAGAGAGAGAGGAGAGAGAAAUGAGGAGAGAGAAGAGAGAAGGAAGAGAUAAAAUCUGACUUUUUUUUCAAAUUACCGUUUUGCCCUUCGAGGUAAUUUAAUCGUAUCUUCUUCAUUACAAUUCCAAUUCGGGUCUACUCCGUGUCUACGGACUCGUUUCGCCGUGCUCUACGCAACGGCGCAAGCGAAAUUCUCAAAUUCUUUCUUGAUCAAAAAGUCAAAUUUUCCCCUAUUAAAAUAUGCGAGGGCAAAAUCGUCUUUUGGGUAGAAUAAAGAAAUCCUAAUUUUUAGAUAUUUUAGUUUGGGUUAUUACAGUGGGGGGUGGAGAGAUGAUGGGAGGUCGAUUUAACAGGGUUAAGUGUUGUUAAGUGGUUUACCACAUGUCAAAAAAAUAGAAGGAAAACAUGUCGGGCACAUGGCAUUUGGUAACAGUAAAAUUGGACUCAUGAAUGAGUUAGGUGUUGUGUGAUAGAGUGUAUUAGGGUGUACCAUGGGUAUUUUUAGUAGUUAAAUAGGAUGUACUGAGUUAAUUUUAUAAUUUGAUUUAAAUAUUAGGGUAUACUUAGAUCAUAGGGUGUACUCAGUUAAUUUUAAGGUUUGUUUAGCAACAUUCUAAUGUUUUGUUAUCCCCGGUCAAUAAUUUUAUAUCGUGUGGCUUAGAAGGAGGCCUGUUAUCCAACUCAUCUGGUCCACCGUCCAUGAUAUGAACCCGACUUGAGAAUCUUUUGGUGAAGUAGAACAACCCAACUUGAGAGUUGAGGCAGCCAAACUAGAAGGGAAGCAUCCCCACUCCAGUCCCGCUCCCCAUGUGCCCAAUACUUUGCUUGUUUACUUCACCUUUUAAACCUUUUAGGAUUUUCCAUAGGCUAAGAGGAAAACAACAACAUUACGGCCCAGUUUACGAAUGGAUUCGAGGGGAAAUUACUUCCCAUGCCAUUUUUUAAGGGAUGGAAAAUGGAGAUUCAUUUCCCAUAUUUGAUAAUCCUAGGAAAGUAACUAAGAAAUACUACUUUAUUUCCUUUCACAUAUUUGGUUUGUGUAGGAAUGUAAAACAAAGUUAGUUUAAUUUUUCAAUUAUAUCCAUAUGAAAUUAAAUUUUAAAAAAAAUGUAUUUAAUGCUAUAUUGUUAAUGGGGACAAUAUGGUCAUGAAAAAUGUGUAUUUAAUGUUGGCUAAUUUUCUCAAACUUUCUCAUGUGCAAGACAACGAUUUCUCAUGCCUAGACUUACCAAAUAUGGGAAAGCAAUUGAUUUCUCAUCACCAAGCCUCCUUUCCCAUGAACCAAACAGGACCUACAAGUUAUUAGCUUCAAGCCUUCAAGGAUUUUCAUAACAAAUCUUCCAAUCUCACACAAAAAUAAAAAAGCAUCCAUGUAUGUAAUUUCUAGAUUAAAAUCUCACUUUUUAGGCAUUCCAUUUUCUUAGGAUUAGGUAUUACUACGCACGGACAAUCUUACGAUUAUCUGCAAUUCAUCCUUCAAUAGCUAUGGACGUUAUAUCAAAUCAACAAUAAGACGUACAUUUCUUCAAAGAACUAAAUCAUGCGGAUGUCAACUUGCUCUCACUUAUAUGUUUGUCUCUCCAUAUGAGGAAGGGUGUUUAGCUUAAGGUUUUAGGGCGCGGUUGUCUAAGAACAAUAAGGUGAACAUGUUUUGUCAAAGUACAUGGGAGACCUUUAUCUUCAAACACAAAAAAUGGCCAAAAUUAAAUUAGCAAGGAUCGACAUAUGGAUGUGAGCUUUUACACAUUGCCACUAAUUCUCUCCAUACUUUUGUUGAAAUCAUUUACAAAAUAAGAAAACUUUAGUAAUUGAAGCGAAAGAGAAGAAUUACCAGAACAGAAAAUAAGAAAAAAGAAGCACCUAACCCAAACUUUAAGUCACGAAUUUAACAGUUUACUUUUUAAAAAAAGUAAGUUACAAAACAAUCCCCUUAUUGAUGAGGAUUGAGAAUUUAAGAGCACUAAUAACUUGAGUGAGGAAUAUUGCACAUGGACGAUGGAUCUCUCUCUCUCUCUUUGAAAAAAAAGAAAAAAGAAACAAAAAUCAACUUCAUUAUCCUUAGUGAAUUUGUUCUGGAUUAGUUGUGUUGCAAUGGAACAUCGAACCUACCUAGCUAAAAGGAAAAAAGAAAGGCCACUACGACAGUACUGCAGUAUAUUAUUCCAAGAAGACAAAUGUAAACUAUAUACGUGAAGAAUAUCUAUUAUUGGUCGUCAUUUUCAAUCCUCAUAAAAGAAAACUUACUUCGCCAUAAUUUCAGGUUGUUCUCAAGGCAGGAAGGUAAGGACACUUGAAAAGAUUCCUUCUCAUCAUCUAUACAAGGAAAUGUGUUCUCAUCAAGCUAGGGGACAAGGCAAAUUAGCAACCUUUAUACUCGAUAUAUUAUUCCAAGCAGAUAUACAUGUGAAGAAUAUUAUGAUCUUGAUCAAUAUGGAAUCAGUGGGUGUAUCGAUCGACCAUCCAAAGAAAAAGGAUAUCCUCUGCAUAUAUGUGUGCAUGCCAACAACUAUAAAAGGAGACCAUGAGGCAAUGAGUUGAUCAUCAAAGCAAACACACAGAUAUCCCAACUAAAAAUCAUUCAGUGAGACAAUGGCUGGAACCAAUGAUAUUAAAAUUAAAGGGUUCGAUUUGAGCAAAAACAGCGGCAACACGUCCGGAUUAACCCACUUCGCCAACAGAGCUGACGAGGGCGACAAGGGCGACAAUAAAAUCGAGGUUGAGGAUGCUAAAGCGCAAGAUAACAAGGGAAACUUGAAAGUACUGACCGACUUCGCCCAACGUGGUAAGGUGGGCCAGUCGGAUCGCCAAGAAAUCACGGGGAGCAAGCCACUUCAGACGGCAGCAUGAAAUUGAUGAAGGCCAUACCAUAAUAAAAUAUCUACACUAAAAUAAGAGCUGAUGCAGUAUCUGAGGCUCCUUCCUUGGUUAGGCCUCAUUAUCAUGUGCAAUACUAAUAUUAUUAUUCUAAUAAAAUAAUGGUAGCUUAUUAUUAAAUAUAUCAAAAUUCUAUACGUAUAACUUUUAGAUUAUUGAUACUGAUGACAUACCAACAAGAGAAAACGAUUCAAAAGUCCUUUCUCCAAUUCGUGAUGUUACAAAAUGAGACGUCAAAUUUAAAAAUAUAGUUGCAUACGAGUAUAAACUGAACCAAUAAGCAAUGUAUGAGUGACCAAAGGUCUCAAACGAUGCAUUUAAGAAGAAGGGUACUAAAUUAAAAGAUGUACGCCAGUGAACUAUGGCAAUCUCUCGUUGCAUGCACGCAUAUGCAAUUGAAGAAGACCUAACUUAUAUCACGAAGAAGUGGAUGGGUCUUUACAUAUGAAGUUUUUAAAAUUAACACUACCGGAAGACAAUAGGAGUAUCGGCGUAUCUGAUACAAGUAUCGGAGUCUCGGAGUAUUAGAUUUGAGCAUACCUGUCCAAAUAGGAGUAUCGGUGCAACAUAGAUGAAAAGGAAUUGGAUGUGAUUUCACAUAUUUUUAAAGAACAGGGGAAAUAAACCAAUUAAUCUCUUUCGUCUUGUCCACACAUUUCUUGUUGCAAAUUUUGGUUUUCAAAAAAUUUGGCAUUUCAAGCAACUUGGAAAACAUUUUGAUGAUCCAUUAUUGAACCUCUAAAGUCGAUAUUCAAUCCCUAUCGACCUUGCUCAAAAAAUGUCUCAUUUCAAUUAGUGCAGAGAAAAAUAAAGGCAGAGUUGAAAAUAGAUUUUUCAGUUUGGAAAGUGACAUUGAGAUGUAAAAAGACUAGACAUUAAGGUGGCAAGAGAGAUCUAACAGGAUCAGACAAAAAAGGAAAAAAAAAUGAAUGAAAAAUAGAAAAUGCCCUAGAAAGGGGAGAACAACUUAGUUGCAAUGGGGAUAACAAUAUCUUGCUAUUACUGGUCAAUAAUUUUAUACCACGUGGCCUAGAAGGAGGCCUGUUAGUCCAACUCAUCUGGUCCACUUCCCAUUAUAUGAACCCGACUUGAGAGUUUUGGUUUUUUGGUUGAAGUAGAACAACCCGACUUGAGAAUUGAGGCAGCCAAACUAGAAGGGAAGCAGCCCACUCCACUCCCGCUCCCCAUGUGCCCAGUACUUCGCUUGUUUACUUCACCUUUUAAACCUUUUAGGAUUUUUUUUAUAGGAUAAGAGGAAAACGACGACAUUACAAGUUAUUACGCAUCAACGUAUGUAAUUUCUAGAUUAAAAUCUCACUUUUUACGCAUGUCAUUAUCUUAGGAUUAUGUAUUACUACGCACUGACAAUCUUACGAUUAUCUGCAAUUCAUCCUUCAAUGACCAAAGACGUUAUAUCAAAUCAACAAUAAGACAUACAUUUCUCCAAAUAACUAAAUUAUGUGGAUUUCAACUUGCUCUCAUUUAUAUGUUUGUCUCUCUCCUCCUAUUGAUUAGCCUCUCCAUAAGAGCAAAUAUGAAAAAAGAAGCUCCCAAUCCGAACUUUAAGUCACAAGUUUAACAGUUUACUUUUAAACAAAAGCAAGUUACGAAACAAUCCCCUGAUUUCCUUGUUAAACAUCAACCGACCCAUUAUUGAUGAGGAUUGAGAAUCUAAGAGCAUAUGGACGAUGGAUCUCUCUCUCUUUUUGAAAACAAAAACAAAAACAAAAAACAAAAAUCAACUUCAUUAUCCUUGGUGAAUUUGUUCUGGAUUAGUUGUUUUGAAUUAGUACAGCUUACGUACGCAAUGGAACAUCGAACUUAGCUAGCUAAAAGGAAAAAAGAAAGGCCACUACUACAGUACCGCAGUAUAUUAUUCCAAGAAGACAAAUGUAAACUAUAUACGUGAAGAAUCUCUAGUAUUGGUCGUCAUUUUCAAUCCUUAUAAAAGAAAGCUUGCUUCGCCAUAAUUUCAGGUUGUUCUCAAGGCAGGCAGAGAGAGUACGUAGCUUGGCAAGAAAGGUAAGGGCACUUCAAAAGAUUGUUUCUCAUCAUCUAUAUGAGGAAAUGUGUUGCCAUCAAGCUAGCGGACAAGGCAAAUUAGCAACCUUUAUACUCGAUAUAUUAUUCCAAGCAGAUAUACAUGUAAAUAUAUGUGAAGAAUAUUAUGAUCAUGAUCAAUAUAGAAUCUGUAUCAUGAUCAGAGGGUAUCGAUCCAGCAUCCAAAGAAAAAGGAUAUACUCUGCAUAUGUGCAUGCCAACAACUAUAAAAGGAGACCAUGAGGCAAUGAGUCGAUCAUCAACGGAAACACACAGAUAUCCCAACUAAAAAUCCAUCGUGAGACAAUGGCUGGAACCAAUGAUAUUAAAAUUAAGGGGUUUGAUUUGAGCAACAACAAAGGCAACACGUCGGGAUUAACCCACUUCGCCAACAGAGCUGACGGGGGCGACAAUGGCAACAAUAAAAUCGAGGUUGAGGAUGCUAAAGGGCAAGGGAACACGGGAAACUUGAAAGUACUGACCGACUUCGCCCAACGCGGUAAAGUGGGCCAGUCGGAUCGCCAAGAACUACUCAAACCUCAGGCAUGAAAUUGAAGAAGGCCAGACCACAACAACUUGUCUGCUUGAUAGAUAUAUGUGCUAAAUUAUCUACACAAAAAUAAGAGCUGAUGUUUUAUCUGAGGCUCCUUCCUUGGUUAGGCCUCGUUAUCAUGUGUAAUAUUAAUAUUAUUAUUCUAAUAAAAUAAUGGUAGCUUAUUAUUAAAUAUAUCAAAAUUCUAUACGUAUAACUUUUAGAUUAUUGAUACUGAUGUCAACAAGAGAAAAUGAUUAAAAAGUCCUUUCUCCAAUUCGUGAUGUUACAAAAUGAGACUUCAAAUUUUAAAACUAUAGUUGCAUACGAGUACAAAACUGAACCAAACAAUGUAUGGGCCAGAGUGACCAAGGAUGUACGCCAGUGAACUAAUGGCAAUCUCUCGUUGCAUGCACGCAUAUGCAAUUGAAGGAGGCAUUAUCUGAGGCUCCUUCCUUGGCUAGGCCUCAUUUUCAAUUUUGAUUUCAACUUUGAUUUUGCUUAAACUUUGAUUUUGAGCUAGACUGUGAUUUCGACUUUGAUCUCCCAAUUCGUGCCUUAAGAAUCAGUUUCUCCCAACUCUAUUUACCAAAACCGAAAACUCUGAACUUUUCAAUUCGUCUGGCUACUCUCAGGGUUUCAUGCCUUAGUUUCCUCUCGCCAAAAAGCCAAAAAGACUUGGCUUUCAUGUAAUGCUAUACUCCUCGAUUGAACAAGCCGCGUCUUCAAAUUCAGCUUUCUCACUUCCUUUCUCUUUACUUUCUUUCUUUUGUUUUCCGGCUGGGAAAAUCAUGGAAGCAUUACAAAUUUAAGAGAAUAUUCUAGUAUUAGGGUCCAAACUGUACUAUUUAGGUAUUUUCAUUCUGAUUAAGAGUUCUUUUCUAGAAAUUUGGGGAAGAAAAAAUAGAGUUUCUGUUUUAGUGUUUGAUUUUCAUUACAGUGAAUUAUGUGAAACCGAAAUGUUUCUUGUCUGAUUUCAUCACUGCUUUCAAAUUGCAAAUUAAGGAUUUGAAGGUUAACAAUGCCCGUCUUUAACAAUGUCGCAUUUCAAUUAGUACAAAAGAAAAAUAAAGGCAUAGUUGAAAAUAGAUUUUUCAGUUUCGAAAGUGACAUUGAGAUUUAAAAAGACUAGACAUUAAGAUGGCAAGAGAGAUCUAAAAGGAUCAAACAAAAAAAGUGAAUGAAAAAUUGAAAAUGCCCUAGAAAGGGAGGAAAUCUUAGUUGCAAUGGGGAUAACAAUGUUUUGCUAUCCUCGAACAAUAAUUUUACACCACGUGACCUAGAAGGAGGCAUGUUAAUCUAACUCAUCUGGUCCACCGUCCAUGAUAUGAACCCGACUUGUGAGUUUUUUUUUUUUUUUGUUGAAGUAGAACAACCAAACUUGAGAGUUGAUGUCACAUCUCAGGAUCGGCUUCACCGUAGCACGAUAUUGUCUGCUUUGGGCCCCCUCGCUGUCCUCGCGGUUUUGUUUCUAGGAGCUCACGAGCAACUUCUCAGUUGGUCACUCAUCUUAGGAUUGCUCUGGCCCAAACUCACUUAACUUCGGAGUUCUCAUGACUCCGAAGCUAGUGAGCUCCUAAAAGGCCUCGUACUAAAUGGAAGUGGGCAUAUAUAUAUAAGGCACAACACCCCAUCUUCGUUGGUUGAUGUGGAAUGUUACAAUCCACCCCCCUUAGAGGUCUGACUUCCUCGUCGGCACACUCUCACCACACGGCAGAGUGGCUCUGAUACCAAACUGUCACAUCCCGGGAACGGCUCCGUCGUAGCACGAUAUUGUCCGCAUUGGGCCAACCUUUCUGCCCUCACGGUUUUGUUACUGGGAGCUCACGAGCAACUUCCCAGUGAAUCACUCAUCCUGGGAUUGCUCUAGCCCAAACUCGCUUCACUUCGGAGUUCCUAUGACUCCGAAGCCAAUUAGCUCCCAAAAGACCUCGUGCUAGAUAAAGGUGGGCACGUACAUAUAAGGCACAUCACCUUCUCUUCGUUGAUCGAUGUGGGAUGUUACAGUUGAGGGCUCCGUUGGUCGAUGUAGGAUGUUACAGUUGAGGCAGCCAAACUAGAAGGGAAGCAACCCAACUCCACUCCCUCUCCCCAUGUGCCCAGUUCUCUGCUCGUUUACUUCACCUUUUAAACAUUUUAGGAUUUUCCAUAAGCAAAGAGGAGAACGACCACAUUACGGUCUCGUUUGGUUCACGAACAGAUUUAAGGGGAAAUAACUUCUCAUGUCAUUUCUCAAGGGAUGAGAAAUGGAGAUUCAUUUCCCAUAUUUGGUAAUCCUAGGAAAAUAACAAAGAAAUACCACUUUAUUUCCUUUCACAUGUUUGGUUUGUCUAGGAAUGUAAAACAAAGUUUGUUUAAUUUUCCAAUUAUACCGAUAUGAAAUCAAAUAAAAAAAGAAUAUUUAAUGUUAUAUUGUAAUUCUAAACUGUUAAUAGGGACAAUAUGAUCAUGAAAAAUGUGUAUUUAAUGUUGGCUCAUUUGCUUAUUUUCCCAAACUUUCACAUGAGGAGGAAAACAAAACCCAAGGGGGGAGGAUGGCUUCACUUUCCCCUCUACUUUCCCAUGUACAAGGCAACGAUUUCUCAAGUCUGGACUUACCAUACAUGGGAAAGAAAUUAAUUUCUCAUCCCCAAGUCAUUUUUCCCAUAAACCAAACGGAGCCUACAGGUUAUAAGCUUCAACCUUUAAGGAUUUUCAUAACAAAUCUUGCAAUCUCAUACCAAGGAAAUAAAAAUAAAAAAAAGGAUCCAUGCGUGUAAUUUCUAGAUUAAAAUCUCACUUUUUACGCAUGCCAUUAUCUAAGGAUUAGGUAUGACUACACACGAACAAUCUUACAAUUAUCUGCAAUUCGUCCUUCAAUGGCCAAAGACGUUAUAUCAAAUGAACAAUAAGACGUACAUUUCUUCAAAGAACUAAAUUAUGUGGAUUUCAACUUGCUCUCACUUAUAUGUUUCUCUCUCUCCUCCUAUUGUUUAGCUUAAGGUUUUAGGGCGUGGUUGUCUAAGAACAAUAAGGUAAACAUGCUUACAAAAAAAGAUGGACAGCAAGGAUGGACAUAUGCGAAUGUGAGCUUUUACACAUUGCCACUAAUUUUCUCCAUGAUUUUGUUGAAAUCAUUAACAAAAUAAGAAACUUUAGUAAUUGAAGCGAAAGAGACUAAUUAUCAGAAGAGAAAAUAUGAAAAAAGAAGCUCCCAAUCCAAACUUUAAGUCACAAGUUUAACAGUUUACUUUAAAACAAAAGCAAGUUACGAAACAAUCCCCUGAUUUCCUUGUUAAACAUCAACCGACCCAUUAUUGAUGAGGAUUGAGAAUCUAAGAGCAUAUGGACGAUGGAUCUCUCUCUCUUUUUGAAAACAAAAACAAAAACAAAAAUCAACUUCAUUAUCCUUAGUGAAUUUGUUCGGGAUUAGUUGUGUUGAAUUAGUACAGCUUACUUACGCAAUCGAAUAUCAAACCUAGCUAGCUAAAAAGAGAAAAAGAAAGGCCACAACGACAGUACUGUAGUAUACGUGAAGAAUCUUAUGAUCUAUAAUAUUCUGUAUUAUUGGCCAUCAUUUUCAAUCCUUAUUAAAGAAAACUUGCUUCGCCAUAAUUUCAAGUUGUUCUGAAGGCAGGCAUAGAGAGCACGUAGCUUGGCAAGGGAGGUAAGGGCACUUCGAAAGAUUCCUUCUCAUCAUCUAUACAAGGAAAUGUGUUCUCAUCAAGCUACGGGACAAGGCAAAUUAGCAACCUUUAUACUCAGAUAUAUUAUUCCAAGCAGAUAAACAUGUAAAUAUAUGUGAAGAAUAUUAUGAUAAUGAUCAAUAUAGAAUCUGUAACAUUAUCAGAGGGGUAUCGAUCGACCAUCCAAAGAAAAGGAUAUCCUCUGCAUAUGUGCAUGCCAACAACUAUAAAAGGAGACCAUGAGGCAAUGAAUCAUCAAAGCAAAGACACAGAUAUCCCAACUAAAAAUCAAUCAGUGAGACAAUGGCUGGAACUGGAACCAAUGAUAUUAAAAUUAAAGGGUUCGAUUUGAGCAACAACAGCGGCAACACGUCGGGAUUAACCCACUUCGCCAACAGAGCUGAUGGGGGCGACAAGGGCGACAAUAAAAUCGAGGUUGAGGGUGCUAAAGCGCAAGAUAACAAGGGAAACUUGAAAGUACUUACCGAUUUCGCCCAACGCGGUGAAGUGGGCAGGUCGGAUCGCCAAGAACUUCUCAAGCCUCAGGCAUGAAAUUGAAGAAGGCCAUACCAUAUAUGUGCUGAAUUAUCUACACAAAAAUAAGAGCUGAUGUUUUAUCUGAGGCUCCUUCCUUGGUUAGGCCUCGUUAUCAUGUGUAAUAUUAAUAUUAUUAUUCUAAUAAAAUAAUGGCAGCUUAUUAUUAAAUAUAUCAAAAUUCUAUACGUAUAACUUUUAGAUUCUUGAGUGGGAAACCCUAGCUGCAUUCUGGUCCCUUUUCUUCUUGCCGACAACCAACCACAAGGAAACUAAAGGGGGAGGUGGCCACUGCCCCUCCCCCCCUUCGCCCAUCUUCCCUUUCUCUCCUCAUCUUCCCUUCUUUUUCUCCCAUCUUUUCCCUUCCUCUUAUGCCCUCUUCUCUUCCCAUUCCCUUUCCCAUAUAGUCUAGAUCUAUUUGGAUCUAGGUUUUGUUUGUUUGUUUGUUUGGUUUGGUUUGGUUGUUUUUGCAGUAUUCUAGGUGACUGGUAGUGACGUUGGAUUGUGUCUAUUAUCGGGAGAGUUGUGAUACCUAGUGGCUGAUGUUUUGUCUCUGUUUCAACGACGGCGGCAGUAGCGACACUAGUGAUAGUUAUUGGAUGUGGUGCUCUUCUUUAUUCUGCACUUACCGAAGAACUAUGCUUGGUCAUAGGAGGUUUUCUUUGUCAGAUUCUGAGUUGAAGUGGAGUGCUUCUUAGGGGUCCUUUUAUUGUUGCUUCUAUGUUCCUCCUCUGUGUUCUCUCCUGUUUUCUGUUAUGGUAUGCCUUGUAGUUUGUAUGGGUGUCAAAAUACUAUGAUUUUGCUCAUAGAAGGCUUCUUUUGACAGUUGGGAUAUUCUACGAUCCUCUUCUGUGGGUUUACUAUUUGGGGUUUCUGUCGUUCUCUCAUGUGGGUGUACUAUGUUGGUAUCUAGUUGAGGUUUUCGUCGGAGUUCUUUUUGUUAGUUUUCGUUUUUGAUUUGUUCUUUUAUUGUAAUGGUCCAAAGCGACCAGAAUUAAACUCUCUUGUUAGUCCAUGACAUGUGUGGUACUCUUUUCUCCCCGGGGUUUGUCCCUUGAGAUUGCCCUAGGAAGGUUUUAACGAGGCCACUAUAUCAUGUUGCUCAUUGUACGUCUUUGGUUCUAUUAAUUAAUUCUCUUUCUUAAAAAUAACAAAAAUAAAUAAAUAAAUAAAUAAAAAUUUAGAUUAUUGAUAACGAUGUCAACAAGAGAAAAUGAUUAAAAAGUCCUUUCUCCAAUUCGUGAUGUUACAAAAUGAGACUUCAAAUUGUAAAACUAUAGUUGGAUACGAGUAUAAAACUGAACCAGGCAAUGUAUGGGCCAGAGUGACCAAGGUUGUACGACAGUGAACUAAUGGCAAUUUCUCGUUGCAUGCACGCAUAUGCAAUUGAAGAAUGCCAUAAUAAUAUGUGUUUUUACUAAAUUAUCUACACUAAAAUAAAAACUGAGGCAUUAUCUGAGGCUCUUUCCUUGGCUAGGCCUCAUUUUCAAUUUUGAUUUCAACUUUGAUUUCGCUUAAACUUUGAUUUUGAGCUAGACUGUAAUUUCGACUUUGAUUCUGAUUCUCUCCCAAUUCAUGCCUUAAGAAUCAGUUUCUCCCAACUCUAUUUACCAAAACCAAAAACUCUAAACUUUUCAAUUCGUCUGGGUACUCUCAGAGUUUCAUGCCCUAGUUUCCUCUCGCCAAAAAGCCAAAAAGACUUGGCUUUCAUGUAAUGCUAUACUCCUCGAUUGAACAAGCUGCGUCUUCAAAUUCAACUUUCUCACUUCCCUUCUCUUUACUUUCUUUUCUUUUGUUUUCCAGCCCGGAAAAUCAUGGAAGCAUUACAAAUUUAAGAGAAUAUUCUAGUAUUAGGGUCCAAACUGUACUAUUUAGGUAUUUUCAUUCUGAUUAAGAGUUCUUUUCUAGAAAUUUGGUGAAGAAAAAAUAGAGUUUCUGUUUUAGUGUUUGAUUUUCAUUAUAGUGAGUUAUGUGAAAUCGAAAUGUUUCUUGUGUGAUUUCAUCACUGCUUUCAAAUUGCAAAUUAAGGAUUUGAAGGUUACAAAUUAUUAUGUAGAUAAUUUUUGGGAAUUUAAGAGGCAGUACAGUGUUUGUAUAAGUCUUGAGAUAGACCAAUUUACCACAUGCUCGAUUUCUAUAUAUAAAUUUUUUUAAAUCAUUCUUUUGUUUUAUUUAUUCUGUUAAUUUGUCAUAAUGUGUAAUAUGAUAGCUUCUAAUUCUUUCUUCCUAUUUCUUCUUUUUUGUUAUUCUCUCCCAAAUGAAAUGAAGACCUAACUUAUAUCAAGAAGAAGAGGAUGGAUCCUUACAUAUGAAGAUUUUAAAAUUAACAUUAUUGGAAGACAGUAGGAGUAUCGGCAAUUUGAUACAAGUAUCGGAGUAUCAAAUACGAGCAUGCCCGUCUUUAACAAUGUCUCAUUUCAAUUAGUACAAAAGAAAAAUAAAGGCAGAGUUCAAAAUAGAUUGUUCAGUUUCGAAAGUGACAUUGAGAUUUAAAAAGACUAGACAUUAAGAUGGCAAGAGAGAUCUAAAAGGAUCAAACAAAAAAAAUGAAUGAAAAAUUGAAAAUGCCCUAGAAAGGGAGGAAAUCUUAGUUGCAAUGGGGAUAACAGUAUUUUGCUAUCCUCGAUCAAUAAUUUUAUACCACGUGACCUAAGGAGGCAUGUCAAUCUAGCUCAUCUGGUCCACCGUCCAUGAUAUGAACUCGACUUGAGAGUUUUUUUUUUUUUUUUUUUUUUUUUUUGGGGUUGAAGUAGAACAACUAGACUUGAGAGUUGAUGUCACAUCUCAAGGUCGGUUCCACCGUAGCACGAUAUUGUCUGCUUUGGGCCCCCUCUUUGUCCUCGCGGUUUUGUUUUUAGGAGCUCACGAGCAACUUCCCAGUUGGUCACCCAUCUUGGGAUUGCUCUAGCCCAAACUCACUUAACUUCGGAGUUCUCAUGACUUCGAAAUCAGUGAGCUCCCAAAAGGCCUCGUGCUAAAAGGAGGUGGGCAUAUACAUAUAAGGCGCAACACCCCCUCUCCGUUAGUCGAUGUGGAAUGUUACAAUCCACCCCCUUUAGAGGUCCGACGUCCUCGUCGGCACAGUCUCACCACACGGCAGAGUGGCUCUAUGCCAAAUUGUCGCAUUCCGGGAUCGGCUCCGUCGUAACACGAUAUUGUCCGCGUUGGGUCAACCUCUCUGCCCUCACGAUUUUGUUUCUGGGAGCUUACGAGCAACUUCCCAGUAGAUCACUCAUCCAAACUCGCUUAACUUCGGAGUUCCCAUGACUCCGAAGCCAGUGAGCUCCCAAAAGACCUCGUGCUAAAUGGAGGUAGGCAUGUACAUAUAAGGCACAUCACCUCCGCUCCGUUGGUCGAUGUGGGAUGUUACAGUUGAGGGCUCCGUUGGUCGAUGUACGAUGUUACAGUUGAGGGCUCCGUUGGUCGAUGUAGGAUGUUAUAGUUGAGGCAGCCAAAAUAGAAGGGAAGCAACCCUACUCCACUCCCUCUCCCCAUGUGCCCAGUUCUCUACUCGUUUACUUCACCUUUUAAACCCCUUCGUACUUGAAGACCUGGCUGGCAAUUUGAUUGAAGCGAAAGAGACUAAUUAUCCAUGCUUUUGUUGAAAUCAUUAACAAAAUAAGAAACUUUAGUAAUUGAAGCGAAAGAGACUAAUUAUCAAAACAGAAAAUAUGAAAAAAGAAGCUCCCAAUCCGAACUUUAAGUCACAAGUUUAACAGUUUACUUUAAAACAAAAGCAAGUUACGAAACAAUCCCCUUAUUUACUUGUUAAACAUCAACCGACCCAUUAUUGAUGAGGAUUGAGAAUCUAAGAGCACAUGGACGAUGGAUCUCUCUCCCUUUUUGAAAACAAAAACAAAAACCAACUUCAUUAUCCUUAGUGAAUUUGUUCUGGAUUAGUUGUGUUGCAAUGGAACAUCGAACCUACCUAGCUAAAAGGAAAAAAGAAAGGCCACUACGACAGUACUGCAGUAUAUUAUUCCAAGAAGACAAAUGUAGACUAUAUACGUGAAGAAUAUCUAGUAUUGGUCGUCAUUUUCAAUCCUCAUAAAAGAAAACUUACUUCGCCAUAAUUUCAGGUUGUUCUCAAGGCAGGAAGGUAAGGACACUUGAAAAGAUUCCUUCUCAUCAUCUAUAUAAGGAAAUGUGUUCUCAUCAAGCUAGGGGACAAGGCAAAUUAGCAACCUUUAUACUCGAUAUAUUAUUCCAAGCAGAUAUACAUGUGAAGAAUAUUAUGAUCUUGAUCAAUAUGGAAUCUGUAUCAUGAUCAGUGGAUGUAUCGAUCGACCAUCCAAAGAAAAAGGAUAUCCUCUGCAUAUAUGUGUGCAUGCCAACAACUAUAAAAGGAGACCAUGAGGCAAUGAGUUGAUCAUCAAAGCAAACACACAGAAAUCCCAACUAAAAAUCAAUCAGUGAGACAAUGGCUGGAACUGGAACCAAUGAUAUUAAAAUUAAAGGGUUCGAUGUGAGCAACAACAGCGGCAACACGUCGGGAUUAACCCACUUCGCCAACAGAGCUGCCGAGGGCGACAAGGGCGACAAUAAAAUCGAGGUUGAGGAUGCUAAAGGGCAAGGGAACACGGGAAACUUGAAAGUACUGACCGACUUCGCCCAACGCGGUAAAGUGGGCCAGUCGGAUCGCCAAGAACUUGUCAAACCUCAGGCAUGAAAUUGAAGAAGGCCAUACCAUAACCACUUGUCUGCUUGAUAGAUAUAUGUGCUAAAUUAUCUACACAAAAAUAAGAGCUGAUGUUUUAUCUGAGGCUCCUUCCUUGGUUAGGCCUCGUUAUCAUGUGUAAUAUUAAUAUUAUUAUUCUAAUAAAAUAAUGGUAGCUUAUUAUUAAAUAUACCCAAAUACUAUACGUAUAACUUUUAGAUUAUUGAUACUGGUGUCAACAAGAGAAAAUGAUUAAAAAGUCCUUUCUCGCAUUCGUGAUGUUAGAA
rnacentral:lncRNA from 1 species